rnacentral:rRNA from 1 species
UACAGAGGGUGCGAGCGUUAAUCGGAAUUACUGGGCGUAAAGCGUGCGUAGACGUAUUUAAUUGAUCAGGUGUGAAAGCCCCGGGCUCAACCUGGGAAUUGCAUUUGAGACUGAAUAGCUAGGGUGCGGAAGAGGGAAGCGGAAUUUCCGGUGUAGCGGUGAAAUGCGUAGAUAUCGGAAGGAACACCAGUGGCGAAAGCGGCUUCCUGGUCCAGCACCGACGUUCAGGCACGAAAGCGUGGGGAGCAAACAGG